GUACUCAUUAUGGUUUUGUUUGACAUUCAAGACAUAUGAAGCGCGUGUAAAAUGAAAGAGAGUUGCCCAAAGACAACUGACUUCCAGGAUUUUUUGAGGGUCCAAUGCACAAUACAAUCAGGGUGAAAGGUGUAGAAGAGCAGAAAAGCACAAGGCUUUAAUGCAUUAUCUCUAAUGAUCCUUCCGCAGGUUCACCUACGGAAA
rnacentral:misc_RNA from 1 species